rnacentral:hammerhead_ribozyme from 1 species
AUCCACUGACGAGUCCAAAAUAGGACGAAAUGCGCGUUGUCCUGGAU